UAGUUGGUGGGGUAAAGGCCUACCAAGGCUAUGACGGUUAACCGGCCUGAGAGGGUGUACGGUCACAUUGGAACUGAGAUACGGUCCAGACUCCUACGGGAGGCAGCAGUGGGGAAUAUUGCGCAAUGGGCGAAAGCCUGACGCAGCGACGCCGCGUGGAGGAUGAAGGUCUUUGGAUUGUAAACUCCUGUCGGAUGGGAAGAAAAGCUUUUUUUAAAUAGAAAAGAGUUAUGACGGUACCAUCAGAGGAAGCACUGGCUAAUCUCGUGCCAGCAGCCGCGGUAAUACGAGAGGUGCAAGCGUUAUUCGGAAUUAUUGGGCGUAAAGGGUGCGUAGGCGGUUUGUUAAGUUUGUUGUUAAAGACUCUGGCCUAACUGGAGAAAAGCAAUAAAAACUGGCAACCUAGAGAGUGAAAGAGAGAAGUGGAAUUCCCGGAGUAGCGGUAAAAUGCGUAGAUCUCGGGAGGAACACCAAUGGCGAAGGCGGCUUCUUGGUUCACAUCUGACGCUGAGGCACGAAAGCGUGGGGAGCAAACAGGAUUAGAUACCCUGGUAGUCCACGCCGUAAACGAUAAUCACUAGACGUUAGCCUGAUUUUUCGGGUUAGUGUCGUAGCUAACGCGUUAAGUGAUUCGCCUGGGGAUUACGGCCGCAAGGCUAAAACUCAAAGGAAUUGACG
rnacentral:rRNA from 1 species